rnacentral:rRNA from 1 species
UACGUAGGUGGCAAGCGUUUGUCCGGAUUUAUUGGGUUUAAAGGGUGCGUAGGCGGUCUUCUAAGUCAGUGCUGAAAUAUCCCGGCUUAACCGGGAGGGUGGCAUUGAUACUGGGAGACUUGAGUAAAGUUGAGGUAGGCGGAAUUGACGGUGUAGCGGUGAAAUGCUUAGAUAUCGUCAAGAACACCAAUAGUGAAGACAGCUUACUAAACUUUAACUGACGCUGAGGCACGAAAGUGUGGGGAUCAAACAGG